rnacentral:lncRNA from 1 species
UGGAAUCGACGGUGAGGAAGCAGAAGACCUGGGUGGUAUGUAGGCCACGACGCCGGCGGCGGCGAAGGAGAGAAUGAGACAAAGAGAAAGGUAGAAAAAAAUAUCCCCUAUUUCUUUUUGUUAAUCUCUAUUUAUUUGCUAUAAAAACUAACUAAUGAUUUCUUUUUAAGCCUUCAAAAACGGGUGAAAUCAACUUACUAUGGAAAAUCGAGAGGGAAAGCGAAGACUACCUUUGGAGGUAAAACAGCGAAUCUCUAAUAGUUUUUAAUUAUUUUUUAGGUAAAAGGGAAGGUUCUGUUUGUUGACGAGUUGCUUAAAAUGAAAAUGUGAUUGGUUUUGUUACCGAAAUUGUAGUAGUAGUCUACGUGUUUUAAAAAUUUCUGUUUGAAAAACUUGACUUUUUACUAUUGUUUAAAAAACUUCAACAACAUUGUUUAGUCGAAAAAUCUGUAUUUUAGCUCGAUUGUACUACAAGUUUCAUAGUUCUUUACAUCUUUGGUGCGAAAACGAUGAAAGAUGGCUAUAGGUUUCUUUGUUAGCAUAUUUUCCAGCAACUUUUAGUUGAUUUUGUAAGCUUAUUUCAUUCAUUGGUUGGUUGUUCAUUAAAAUGAAACGUCCAUUUGAUUAAUCGCAAUGAACAUUGUAUUCGAGGGUCGUUUAGGGGUUGACUAAGCUCAACAAUGUGUAUCUAUGCAUGAUAUGUGAAUGCUUUCGAAUAGGGAUGUUUUGAAUGAUUACCUUUAAUUCGAAACUUCCUUGUUUUGUCGUGUUUCAGGUGGCGGUGCUUUUCGAGAGUCACGACAAAACCGCUUUGGCGGCUUCCAUGUGGGUGGCAAGGAGACUUUAUAACUUUUUAGUUUUUAGUGUUUUGUAAUGUCAUUCUUAUUUGGGACUUUAGGACUUAUGUAUUUGUUUUAGGGAGUUUUUAGGGGAG